rnacentral:rRNA from 1 species
UACGGAGGAUGCAAGCGUUAUCCGGAUUUAUUGGGUUUAAAGGGUGCGCAGGUUGUUUGAUAAGUCAGUGGUGAAAGUCUGUCGCUUAACGGUAGGAUUGCCAUUGAUACUGUUGGACUUGAAUAUGGAUGAGGUAGGCGGAUGUGUAGUGUAGCGGUGAAAUGCAUAGAUAUUACACAGAACACCGAUUGCGAAGGCAGCUUACUAACCCAUCAUUGACGCUGAGGCACGAAAGCGUGGGGAGUCAAACAGGA